AUACUUACCUGGCAGGGGAGAUACCAUGAUCACGAAGGUGGUUUUCCCAGGGCGAGGUUUAUCCAUUGCACUCCGGAUGUGCUGACCCCUGCAAUUUCCCCAAAUGUGGGAAACUCGACUGCCUAAUUUGUGGUUUUUAGGCCUCCCUAA
rnacentral:snRNA from 1 species